rnacentral:rRNA from 1 species
UCAUAUCCCCCCUCUAGAUCACCCAACAAAGACCACAGUCUUAAAACCAAAGAAUUUGGCGGUGUUUUAUACAAUCAGGGAGCCUAUAUCUUAAUAUGGUAAUCCACAAAUAUCUCACCAUAUAUUGAAACAUGCAGCCUGUAUAUUGCCGUAAAGCCAAUCUUAAAUAAUCAAGCAAAUAGAUUUAUAAAAUACAACUUCAGGUCAAAAUGCAGCUAAUAAUACGGAGAUAGCGGACUACACCUACUACAUGACCAAAUCAAAUUAACUUAACAAACAGAACUUGACAGUAAUAGACCUUUACUAUAGACUUAUCAACUUACUAUAAUACAUGCACAUAUCGCCCGUCACUCUCAUUGAAAAA